CAGCAGCCGCGGGAAUACGUAGGUCCCGAGCGUUGCUCGGAUUUACUGGGCGUAAAGGGCGCGUAGGCGGACUGAUAAGUCAGGGGUGAAAUCCCAAGGCUCAACCUUGGAACUGCCUUUGAUACUGUUUGUCUUGAGUUCGAGAGAGGUAAGUGGAACUGCGAGUGUAGAGGUGAAAUUCGUAGAUAUUCGCAAGAACACCAGUGGCGAAUGCGGCUUACUGGCUCGAAACUGACGCUGAGGCGCGAAAGCGUGGGAGCAAACAGGAUUAGAUACCCGUGUAGUCCCUGUCUCUUAUACA
rnacentral:rRNA from 1 species